AUACGAAGGGGGCUAGCGUUGUUCGGAAUUACUGGGCGUAAAGCGCGCGUAGGCGGACUGAUCAGUUGGGGGUGAAAUCCCAGGGCUUAACCCUGGAACUGCCUCCAAUACUGUCAGUCUUGAGUUCGGGAGAGGUGAGUGGAAUUCCUAGUGUAGAGGUGGAAUUCGUAGAUAUUAGGAAGAACACCAGUGGCGAAGGCGGCUCACUGGCCCGAUACUGACGCUGAGGCGCGAAAGCGUGGGGAGCAAACAGGAUUAGAUACCCUAGUAGUCC
rnacentral:rRNA from 1 species